rnacentral:rRNA from 1 species
UACGUAGGGGGCAAGCGUUGUCCGGAAUUAUUGGGCGUAAAGAGUACGUAGGCGGUCUGUUAAGCGCAAGGUGAAAGGCAUAGGCUCAACCAAUGUGAGCCUUGCGAAUUGGCAGACCUGAGUGCAGGAGAGGAAAGCGGAAUUCCUAGUGUAGCGGUGAAAUGCGUAGAUAUUAGGAGGAACACCGGUGGCGAAGGCGGCUUUCUGGACUGAAACUGACGCUGAGGUACGAAAGCGUGGGGAGCAAACAGG